CUUGGUUCCAUUUUUCGACAACUUUCCAAGAUGGUUGCAAAGGAUCUUAUGAGGAUGUCGAAGAAGUUCAUUGACGAGGCUCAACAGCUUGUUAAGCAACUGUCCGAUAGGCGUACCGAUUUAGAGAAUUUUGCCAAUUUCA